rnacentral:piRNA from 1 species
UAACAAAAGAACUGGUUGCUUCCCCUAGG